GAGAUUUUGUUGCCGAAUUCAAGAGGAGACAGAGAGCUGAAGUGAACGAUGAGUGUUUGUUUUGUCGGAACCAUGAUGGCGAGAAGAUGAUCGGCCGGGCUGGAGCGAACUCUAAGACGACUAGACCCUGGGUUUACCUGAGAAGAGAACACGAGCAAACUGUUCUAAGCA